GAUGAACGCUGGCGGCGUGCCUAAUACAUGCAAGUCGAGCGAACGGACGAUAAGCUUUCUUCUCUGAUGUUAGCGGCUGACGGGUGAGUAACACGUGGAUAACCUACCUAUAAUACUGGGAUAACUUCGGGAAACCGGAGCUAAUACCGGAUAAUAUUUUGAACCGCAUGGUUCAAAAGUGAUAGACGGUCUUGCUGUCUCUUAUAGAUGGAUCCGCGCUGCAUUAGCUAGUUGGUAAGGUAACGGCUUACCAAGGCAACGAUGCAUAGCCGACCUGAGAGGAUGAUCGGCCACACUGGAACUGAGACACGGUCCAGACUCCUACGGGAGGCAGCAGUAGGGAAUCUUCCGCAAUGGGCGCAAGCCUGACGGAGCAACACCGCGUGAGUGAUGAAGGUCUUCGGAUCGUAAAACUCUGUUAUUAGGGAAGAAAAUAUGUGUAAGAAAAUGUGCACAUCUUGACGGUACCUAAUCAGAAAGCCACGGCUAACUUCGUG
rnacentral:rRNA from 1 species